UACGUAGGGUGCAAGCGUUGUCCGGAAUUAUUUGGGCGUAAAGAGCUCGUAGGCGGUCUGUCGCGUCGAAUGUGAAAAUCCGAGGCUCAACCUCGGACCUGCAUUCGAUACGGGCAGACUAGAGUGCGGUAGGGGAGAUUGGAAUUCCUGGUGUAGCGGUGGAAUGCGCAGAUAUCAGGAGGAACACCGAUGGCGAAGGCAGGAUCUCUGGGCCGUAACUGACGCUGAGGAGCGAAAGCAUGGGGAGCGAACAGG
rnacentral:rRNA from 1 species